GGAGUUACAGACACAAAGUUUGGAGCUGAGACGAAAAGAUGGACCAUCUAGAGACUUUAAAAAAAAAUAAAAGAGUGUAAACUCUCCUACCCCAGUCAUCUGUUUAUUCAGCGACAGUGAAAAUUUCCUAAUAUCUGUAGUGCUUUCCCAGGGACUGGCAGCAAGGGAGGGGAAAUCUAGAGUUGAACUUGCAGGUAAAGCCAUUCUUCAUUGCUUUAAUAAAUAAAUCCUUUAAGAUAAAUCUGUCAUUCACAGCACAGGAAGAGAGCUGAACUGGAAAUAGCCAAUCCAUAUCUCAUUCUUUUCAAUGGUCAUGGGGCACUGCUAUGUCAGGGUGGGGUCACCCUGCAUCCUUGGUGUGUAGGUCCUCCCAGAUGACUUAAGGAGCCCUUCCCUCACUCUCCAGCUUUCUAAGCUUCCAACCAUGAGCUGUGCCAAUGGCUGGGCAGCUGAUUCCCAGCUCCUUGAAUCCAUGAAGCCCUGGAGGAUUUAAGGUCCUGUGCCCAUUGCUAGUGAUGAUGCUAAUAAUUUGUCAGCAUUUAUUGCUCGCUCAGUGUGUCUGGCCCAGCCGUGGGUAUUUUAUGUGAAUUAGUUCAUGUAAUGUUUUCAAACCCCAUUGAGCUGAUCAGUGACUCUUGUCCCACUUUGGGAUGAAAGUGUAGGGCUCUGAGCUAGACGUGGGGAGUUUUUCCUUGGAACUAGUUUUCCUUUCUAGAAAAUACAUGUAAUGUAAAGUUUACCACCUUAAGGAUGUGUGUGUGUGUGUGUGUGUGUGUGUGUGUGUGUGUGUGUGUCUGUCUGUCUGUCUGUCUGUCUGUCUGGGGUGGGUGCAUCUGGAAACAUGUGCAUAGACCAGAGAUGCCAUGGAGUAGAAAGUCUUCUCGUGACACUCUGGUCUUAGUCCUUGGGGAAGGAUCCCAUGCCCUGAAGCCAGAGCUCAGGUGUUCUUAACUAGACUGGAAGCCAGUGAGCUCCAAAGACCCUCCAGGGUCCAUGCCCCUUGGAGCUGGUGCUGUGGCCAUUUUCUAGAACCCUGGCUUGAUAUGUGUGCUGGGAUCCCAACUCCAGUCUUUAGGAUUGCAGUGCAAGCUUCACUCUGCCAAGAUCUCUCCAGCCCACACCAGCCCACCAUUUCCUUCCAAUGUUUUCGCAAAGAUUGUGGUUUUUGUUUAUUGGUGUGUGUGUGUGUGUGUGUGUGUGUGUGUGUGUGUGUGUGUGCGCACAUGUGCAUUUGUGGGACUGCUUAUUACAAGGUGCUGGAAGUGAACUGCAGUCCACAUGAUUAAGCACUAAGUCAUCUCCCCAGCACCGCCCUGGCCAUCUUUAAGUGGCAUUAAGUACAGACACAAGGCUGUGUUCUCUUCAUUGCCACCCGUUACAGAACUCCUUGAAAAACACUAACCACUAGCAACAGUUGCUCUUCCCUGGGCCCUGGCUGUCCACUCUGUCUGUCCAGAGGCCACACUUCUGUCUUUGAAGGCGUGAGUGGACUAUUUGUGUCUAAUUGUGUGGCACUUCUUCCACCUACCACCUCCACCACAGCUCCCUUCCUCCAUAUUGACACUAAUGUAAAUGUCAGUGAUGGUUGUAAGGUGUACCAGCCUCUAGAAGGUGAGAUUAUCAGCCUCUAUCCCUGUCCCCUGGACUUGUUAGGUAUAUAUUGGCUAAUAUAUUUAUUUUUAAAAUUAAAUUGUAAUUAUACCAUUUUCCCCUUCCCUUUCCUCCCAUGUCCCUCCCAUGCAACCCAUCCUUGUUUUCUUUCAAGUUUAUCUAUUUAUCAUCUCUCUCUCUCUCUCUCUCUCUCUCUCUCUCUCUCUCUCUCUCUCUCUUUCCCUCUCUCUCUCCCUCUCUCUCCCCUCUCUCUCUUGCUUCUGAUAAGAAGUGCAAUAUGCAUUCUUUUUAGGAAACGUGCACACUAAGUAAGCAGUAAAUGUCAGCUCUUACAGUUUAGCAAAACUAAGUACAAUAUCUCUCCCUUCUCCAAAGGUUGUGUCAGAAGGCCAUACACAAAAGUAUGCUAAUAUCCCAUAAAUAAAAUAAAUACAUUUAAAUAAAUUUAGCCUGCUGCAACAGAGAAAUCUUGAGUCGGGGCCGGGGAAGCCAUUCUUGGGCAUGGAAAGGUGGCUAAGUAAGAGCAUGGCUACUCCUGCAGAUGACCUGGGCUUGGUUCCUAGAACCCCCAUGGUUGCUCAAAAACAUCCUUACCUCUAGUUCUGGUUCUGGAGGAUCUGAUGCCCUCUUUUGGCUCUGUGGGCCUCAGGAAUGCAUCUGGUAAGCAUAAAUACAUGUAGGCAAAACAACACAUGCACAUAUAUUUAAAAAUAAAAGGCAUGCUUAAAAUGUACCAAUAAAACAACACAUGCACAUAUAUUUAAAAAAGCAUGGUUAAAAUAUACCAUUGGUACUUAACAUUCCUUAAGUUUGUUUCAUAAUUUUAUAUAUAAUCAUAUAUUUUAUUAAUAUUUAUUUUUACUUAAUUAUAUUCAGAUAUAGAAUAAUUGUUAUCUAAUUGUAUAUAUUUAUAUUUGCACAUUUGUAUUUCAUUGUAUAAUUUUAUGUAAAUAAAAUGUAUUUUCAAUGUAAGAAUUCAAAUAAAUUGAUAUGAUUUCCAUGAGCUCAAAAGAAUUUAUUUAAGACUUCUACACCACUAGCUAAAGAUAGCCAUUGUUGUUUUCUUGGUGUUCCAGCCUUGUAGUAUGUCUGUGCAAAUAUAUAUGUAACAAAAUUAAACUACAUUUCUUUCA